rnacentral:lncRNA from 1 species
UUUUUAUUAGUCAUUCUCAACAAUCAAUACCAGAACAGUUGUACAAAAGCAUGUGUGUUUCCAUCAAACAAAUUUCUUAUUCAUGAUUUUUCAUUACAGUGGUACAUGUUACAAUCACCAAAAACUACAUAAGCAAUCUUUGUUUACAAGUUGCAUAUUCACGUUUUUCCUCUUCGAGUGAUAUACGCAUAAUCUGCAACCUUCUCUUUUGAUUUGGUUAAACGGCACUUCUUGUGUCCUCUGAGAUUACACAGAGAAUGAUUGGCUGGAUUGUGUAACUCUUCAUAGUCCCGUCCCUGCAAAACUGAACAAUAUUCAGAGAAUGCACAAAAUUCAGAACUUGCACAAAUUCAGAACAUGAGGAGGUACAACUGCUAACCUACAAGUUUCCACAUUGUAGUAAUUUUGGCCGGGACAGAGAUCAUCCAGGUUGCCCCAAUGUACACCGUACUGGGCUUCACAUGGCUCGAACACAACGCGGUCGGCCGCCGCCCGCCACACGACGAGUCAGUACGCGAUGCUGGUAUUCACAGGGCUCGACCAUGACGCCGUGGCACUGAAUGCAUCCAUACGAGGAAGCUGCGUCGCCAGAGGAGCCGGCCGUGAAGAUGCUGACUGCCUCCCCGCAUCGGAGGAGCUAGCCAUGACGCAUCCAACGCGAAGGAUGUCGCCUCGCCGCCUCAGAGUAGCCCGUCGUGGCGCCUCGAACGAGACCACCGCAUCCAUCGAUGGGGAAUUCACCGCGUCGGCCUGCCGCUGGGGAACUCGUCGUUUGGCCGGCCGAUCUGUGCGAGUCGGCGUUCGCCUGGGAGGGAAAGGGAUGCGCACCGGUUUGAUUUUU